rnacentral:lncRNA from 1 species
GAGGGGCCCGCCGCUCCCGGCUCCCGCGGCGCUCCGGCUGCCGCGGCUCUGACCGUCCGAGCCCCGGGCGAAAAUGGGAGGCGGCCAAUUCGUCGCUGGCGGAGCCGCCGCGUCAGGAGGGGAGCUGCGAGGCCCCGCCCCCGAGUGCGUCAGCGCCGGUGACGUCACGCUGCCCUGACGUCAGGUCUGGCGUGCGUCUGCGGCCGGGCCGGCUGGGGGCCGGGGUGCUGCCGCCGCCCCCGCGGCGUGCCCCGCCUUGGCCGAGCUUGCGUCUGCCCGCGCGCGUGUCCUGGUGGACGGUCCGCUCUGCUUUCCGGUCGUGGCGGGUCUUGUGUUCCAGCCUCCCUCCGCUCGCAGGGGAAGAGCCGGCUGCGCGCGUCCUGCCCCGUGCCCGUCCGAUCCAGACGCCCGUGCACCGUUCUCAGACGGAGGGUAAAUCGGGGUGCCUUGAGCUCAAAUGA